UACGUAGGGUGCAGGCGUUAAUCGGAAUUACUGGGCGUAAAGCGUGCGCAGGCGGUUUCUUAAGUUAGAUGUGAAAGCCCCGGACUUAACCUGGGAACUGCGUUUGAAACUGGGAGACUCGAGUGUGGCAGAGGGGGGUGGAAUUCCACGUGUAGCAGUGAAAUGCGUAGAUAUGUGGAGGAACACCGAUGGCGAAGGCAGCCCCCUGGGUCAACACUGACGCUCAUGCACGAAAGCGUGGGGAGCAAACAGG
rnacentral:rRNA from 1 species